rnacentral:rRNA from 1 species
UACGAAGGGGGCGAGCGUUGUUCGGAAUUACUGGGCGUAAAGGGCGCGCAGGCGGCUCGACAAGUCAGAUGUGAAAGCCCCGGGCUCAACCUGGGAACGGCAUUUGGGACUGUCGAGCUAGAGUUCGGGAGAGGUGGGUGGAAUUCCCAGUGUAGAGGUGAAAUUCGUAGAUAUUGGGAAGAACACCGGUGGCGAAGGCGGCUCACUGGACCGAGACUGACGCUGAGGCGCGAAAGCGUGGGGAGCAAACAGG